CGUGUAGGCGGUUGGUCAAGUCUGGUGUGAAAGCCCGGGGCUUAGCCCCGGAAGUGCGCUGGAAACUAGCCAACUUGAGCGCGGUAGAGGAGGGUGGAAUUCCUGGUGUAGCGGUGAAAUGCGUAGAUAUCAGGAGGAACACCGGCGGCGAAGGCGGCCCUCUGGGUCGUUGCUGACGCUGAGACGCGAAAGCGUGGGGAGCAAACAGGAUUAGAUACCCUGGUAGUCCACGCUGUAAACUAUGGGUACUAGGUGUUCGGGGUGUUGACCCCCUGAGUGCCGACGCUAACGCAUUAAGUACCCCGCCUGGGGACUACGGCCGCAAGGCUAAA
rnacentral:rRNA from 1 species